rnacentral:miRNA from 16 species
CGUGUGUACCUCUCCUGCGUCAC